GCCGCUAUGGUAUAGUGGUUAGCACACGCGUUCAUCGUUCUCGGUGUCCAGGGUUCGAGCCCCACGUGUGGCG